rnacentral:rRNA from 1 species
GCCUGAUCCAGCCAUGCCGCGUGAGUGAUGAAGGCCUUAGGGUUGUAAAGCUCUUUCAGUAGGGAAGAUAAUGACGGUACCUACAGAAGAAGCCCCGGCUAACUUCGUGCCAGCAGCCGCGGUAA